rnacentral:rRNA from 1 species
AGUGAACGCUGGCGGUAAGCCUAACACAUGCAAGUCGAACGGCAGCACAGGAGAGCUUGCUCUCUGGGUGGCGAGUGGCGGACGGGUGAGGAAUACAUCGGAAUCUACUUUUUCGUGGGGGAUAACGUAGGGAAACUUACGCUAAUACCGCAUACGACCUACGGGUGAAAGCAGGGGAUCUUCGGACCUUGCGCGAUUGAAUGAGCCGAUGUCGGAUUAGCUAGUUGGCGGGGUAAAGGCCCACCAAGGCGACGAUCCGUAGCUGGUCUGAGAGGAUGAUCAGCCACACUGGAACUGAGACACGGUCCAGACUCCUACGGGAGGCAGCAGUGGGGAAUAUUGGACAAUGGGCGCAAGCCUGAUCCAGCCAUAUCGCGUGGGUGAAGAAGGCCUUCGGGUUGUAAAGCCCUUUUGUUGGGAAAGAAAUCCAGCUGGUUAAUACCCGGUUGGGAUGACGGUACCCAAAGAAUAAGCACCGGCUAACUUCGUGCCAGCAGCCGCAGUAA